rnacentral:rRNA from 1 species
UACAGAGGGUGCGAGCGUUGCUCGGAAUUAUUGGGCGUAAAGCGCUUGUAGGCGGCUUGUUAAGUUCCGUGUGAAAUCCCCCAGGCUUAACCUGGGAAGUGCGCGGAAAACUGGCGAGCUUGAGUGCCGGAGAGGGUCGCGGAAUUCCCGGUGUAGAGGUGAAAUUCGUAGAUAUCGGGAGGAACACCAGUGGCGAAGGCGGCGACCUGGACGGACACUGACGCUGAGACGCGAAAGCGUGGGGGAGCAAACAGG